GCUGGGCAUGGUGGUGGACGCCUGUAAUCCCAGCUACCCGGGAGGCUGAGGCAGGAGAAUCACUCGAGCCCAGGAGGUGGAGGCUGCAGUGAGCUGAGAUUGCGCCACUGCACUCUGUCCUGGGUGACAGAGUGAGACUCUGACUCAA
rnacentral:SRP_RNA from 1 species